CCCUUAGAUGUUCUGGGCCGCACGCGCGCUACACUGACGAAUUCAACGAGCUUAUAACCUUGGCCGAAAGGUCUGGGUAAUCUCCAAAUUUCGUCGUGAUGGGGAUAGAUUAUUGCAAUUAUUAAUCUUCAACGAGGAAUGCCUAGUAAGCGCAAGUCAUCAGCUUGCGUUGAUUACGUCCCUGCCCUUUGUACACACCGCCCGUCGCUCCUACCGAUUGAAUGGUCCGGUGAAGCGUUCGGACCGUGGCCUUUGGACGGUUCGCCGUCUGUUGGCUGCGGGAAGUUCGUUAAACCUUAUCAUUUAGAGGAAGGAGAANUCGUANCA
rnacentral:rRNA from 1 species